CUCUGACAAACCUUAUUAAGAUGCUAAUAUCAACUACUCGCCUAAUUGAUUCUCUCUUUCACUACUCAAGUAGAAUAUUUUCUCUAUAAAUACCCGAGCUUAUAAUCCAAUCUUCUCUUCACUCCAAUAUAAUUUUCUCCAUUCCGGUAAAUUUCUGAAGUGCAAAAUUAAUAUCUCAGUUGAUCCUGAAACAUAUUAGUUCUUGAUGGCCGGGAAUGAUUCAUCCGGCAAUAAAUCAGCAGCGAUAUUGCGAAAAAUGAUCUUUAGAGGAACUGAUACCACCAGCUAUGGUUAACAUGUGGGCAAUGACUCAUAAUUUUCCUAUUUUUUACUAUACAAAUAUCAAGUGAACAUCCGAACUUGGAUGCCAGUGAGGUAAUCGUUAUUUUUUGAUUAUAUCCAAGUUUGUAUUGAAAAUCUUUCUACGUCUAUAUGAAAACUUUGUUAUUCUGCACUCGUGUUCCACGUAGAGGACUAGUCAAACCUACUUAAAGCAGAUUUUCAUGUGUCAUUGUAAUAUUCUGUUCAUUCCAUGUAUUGGCUCAGGUUAAGCUACAAGUUUUUUGACUUUCUAAGGGUACUAUCUACUUAACAAUGAGUGAAAUGCUGGUAUGAUCACAAUGUUGAGAAAUGCUCAAUUUUUGUUUAUCAAGUCCUUCAAAAUUUACAACAAUUACGGUAUGAGUUCUGGUAACUGGAAAUUCAUUAUGAGCUGCAAGAAUGUGGGGUUGAAUCUGAUUCUACUUCAACUCUUUUAGCUACUAAUCAGAAGGUAUGCGACAGCUAUCAAGGAAAGAUUUGCUCUAAGUUAUGAUAGUAGUAGUAUUCGAGCUAAUUCUGGCACUUACCAGAACUUUUCUAUCCUUUUCAAGUUGAAACUUCUAGUUGUAUCCCAAUGUGGCACUGUGAAGAAUAUUAACUCUUGGAUAAUGGUGAAACUCCCAUGAGAGCUU